GCCGCGCGCCGUAUGCUGUGUGUGCGAGUGACAGUGUGCGAAGGUGAGCGGAAGACGGUGGAUGGAUCUCGCGCGGGCUUGGGAGGAAGGCGGGGUGAAAGCGCGCCGUCUUCCAUUGCGUGCGAUUCACCGGGUAGGUGUACGGGGGGCUUUCUGCAUACAGCAGCCGUGUGUGAACUAUCUUGAAAGCGGUCUGCGAGGGGGGACAGAGUUUAGCUUCGCCGAUGGCUGAUGGUUUCGUGUGUGCUGUGUUCUCGCCGCUUAGUUCGCGCCUGAGCGAUAGGCAGCACGAAGGUCAAUUCAGUCGAUGUCGCCGCUAUGCUUCCAUACGGCAGCGGUAUGACAGCGAGUGUCUGCGGUUAUCAGGUGAGAUGCGUUCAGGUUCACCUGUGCGCUCGAGACACCAUGCUUAUUAUUGUAGUUUGUGAGCGAAUGUUACAAGCUUACACGGCCGAUAAAACUACUAUCCUUACUUCGUAUAGUUGUCUAAUAGUUUGCUAUCGUAAUCCAUGUUCCGCCUUUUCGGCGCGACUGCAGUGAUUUUGCGGUAUAUGCGAGAUAAAUGCCUUAGCAUUACGUCGAAUUUCUCUGAGCGCCCAGAUACAUGAUUUAAACCGCGCUCACCACAUUGCAAAUUGUUGUUUGUUGUUCAGGAGCUCACUGCACACAAACUCUGCCGCUUCGAGGAGUGAAGUUCUACUGACGGUGGUCCGGAACAGACCAGAAUUCGGCUUCCCGACACUCCAGAAGGACGCGGAGGACGGUCAGUCUCUCCCCGCAUCUACCACAGGUUGGAGGCUCGUUUCCGGUUCUCUACUGGAAACUCCCACCACUCGACAUCGUCUUCCCGGACUCGCUCACCAUCCAGGGGACAGCAACGCCCGUCGUCAUGC